GGAGAAGUCGCCUAGUCUGGUCGAGGGCGCACGAUUGGAAAUCGUGUAGGCCUUAACGGGUCUCGAGGGUUCGAAUCCCUCCUUCUCCGCCA
rnacentral:tRNA from 1 species